AUGUCAUCUGCAAACAGAGAUAGUUUUACUUCUCCUUUUCAGUUUUACUUCUCCUUUUCACUUUCUUUUUCUUGCCUAAUUCUUCUGGCCAGAACUUCCAAUAUCACGUUGAAUAGAAUAUUAGCAGUGGGCUUGCUAUAUGCACUUACAAUAUUGAGCCUCUCCUGCAGUCAGAUGUGACCAAAGGAAUAUGAGUGAAAGGAAUGUGUGCCUCUACCAAGCCUGACGCAUAUGAAGAAACAAGCCAUCCAUCCACAUCUGAUCCUUGUCUUCUUCUCCAUCUGCCAGCUGAAUGGAGAGAAAGAACUCCUGCUGGCCCACACUGGACUAUGACGUGAGCAAGAAAUACACUUUUAUUAUGUUAAGCCACUAAUAUUUUGGGAUUUUUUUUAGAGCAAUGGAAUCUAUCACGAUGAAUACAUUUUUUAACAUUCUAAUAUCUUUUUUUUUUUGCUAAAAUUGAUCCAUAUUCUGCAUACUUGCUUUUGUCACUGAUCAAGUACAUUUUUCCAAAUCUGUUAGUGUAGAGGCAAUUCAUUCUUUUUAAUAGGGGUGUAAUAAUCCUAUAUGUAUUGCAGUAUAUAUUUGAUAUGUUAUAUUCAACAUAUAUGAUUUAAUAAUUACUACAGAUGAGUAUUUCUUUGCUUUUAGAUUCCUACUUCUAUAAAUGAUGCUGCAAUAAACAUUCUUAUACACCCCCAUGUGUGUUAUUAACACAACUAUUCUUUUGAUAAUUUUCAAAAUGAUAAAAUUUGCCAAAUAUCCCUUUGGCUUCUCUUGACUUCUUUCUUCAAGUUAGUACUACUCCCAGUCUAAUUUGAAGGCAAUCUUCAUCAAUUCCAUGUCCCAUUGUCACCUCCAUCUAUUAUAUCACCCCUGUGGUCUGCAUCCUAGUUCAGACACCUACUACCUCUCACCUGCAUGAUGGCAGGAGAUUGACUGUUCCUUUAAAAUGUAUUAUUUUGGAAUGCUGGCUUAAGCAGAAUUAAUUGUUUUCCAAAUGUCAUCAACUCCUUAGACAUUGUGAGUUUCCUAUAAGGGGAUACAUCAUGCAGCAUUCCCCAAAUUUAUUUUACUAUAGUUUUUUUCCAGGGGGCAUCUUAAAAGAUUAAUGUAUAAAACACAAUUUGGGAAGUGCUGUUCUAUAUGACUCACCAAAACCAGUUUGUUCUCACUUUUUAACAAGAUAAAUUUAUGUCACAUAGACAGUCAUAGAUCUCCACUUUGCCCUUAAGGAUCAUAAUUCCACAUAUCAUUUGAAGACUAUUAUUCCUGGGCAUUUGCAGGAGAACAUAGUGAGUAAUUCUGAAAUAAAAUGUAGUUGUUCCUUGGUAUCCAUGGGGGACUGGUUCCGGAGCCCUCACAGCUAUCAAAAUUUCAGGAUGCUGAAGUCCCUUACAUAAAAUGGCAUAGUAUUUACAUGUAAACGAUACACAUCCUCCCAUAUACUUUAAAUCAUCUCUAGAGUAUGUACUAGUAAAUUUUUAUUUUACUAUGACUGUGUCUACAUUAUAUCAAAUAAUUCACUUUAAAAGUGAAAAAUGUAUUCAAGCUGAUUGUAUCACAUAACAUAGAUUUAAGAGAAUGAAUUUUUAAUGACACCGACUGAGCUAUAUACAAUUUAUCAUUUUCUUUCAGAGAGCAUUACAGAGUUGUUUGGUGUGCCAGUCAACUGCUUACUUGUUCUCAAAUCCUUUAUCUGACUUUCCCCUUGUGUCCUCUGUAUCACAAGGAACUGCACUUCUUAGGCUUUCUUUUCAAUUGGCAUCUGGAAAUACUUAGCCAAUGUUGGGGGAACUGGUAGAAUACCAGAAAGCAGAGAGAGAGAAGCCAGGGCAUUUUCCCUCUUUUUUAAUACCUUGGGUAGAAACUUUAGCAGAUUUUUUUUGCCAUGGUUCAAGCUACCACUACACAGCCCCUCCUGUGGUCCCAGAUAGUCUAGGCAGCCCUGUCUUGGUCUGACUCUUAUUAAAUAGUCCUGUCUCUGGAUUUUGGAAACAGAUUUCCUCCCAUUGUCUUCCUAGCCCUGGAGAUAGCGGUAGUCUUCUGCUGUUUCUAAUCUCUAGGUUACCUCACUACUUCCUGUUUGACUCUUCCCCUCCCAGACCUUGCCUAUUCCUUUUACUAAAUGCCCUCUUAUUAAAUGCCUAAAGUGGUCCUUCUUUAUGACUGGAUCAUGACUAAUAAGGAAAAUGGAGCAGAUAACCUACUUUAGAAUGUUAGUAGUGAGUCGAUGGCAUGGCCCAUGACAUUUUAGCAAUGGCAUUGACUCAACAUGGCUAAGAUUAUCAAAUGCUUCAAAAAUACCUAAAAACAGACUAAAAGAUAUUAUAUUAGCGAGCAAGGAGGGAAAAAUCAGUAAAGUUUGUCUCUGAUGCAGGGAAGCUAUUGUUUGCAUAUUGGUUUAUACUAAGGGUACUAGUCUAGAUGAAGGAAGAUAUCAUAAAAUCAAGAUAAAAUAAAUAAUAUGAGCACAUCAAGUAGCCUAGUGAAGAAAGUGAAAGAAAGCUAAUUUACUGAUAUGGUCUGGCUCUGUGCCACCACCCUAAUAUCAUCUUGAAUUGUAAUCCGAAUUUGAAUCCCCAUGUGUUGGUGUAAUCCCCACCUCGUGGGAGGUGAUUAGAUCACAGAGGCAGUCCUCCCAUGCUUUUCACAUGAUAGUGAGUGAGUUCUCACAGGCUCUGAUGGUUUUAUAAGGGGCUUUUCCCCUUUAACUUGGCACAUCUCUCUCCUGCUGCCAUGUGAAGAAGGAUGUGUUUGCUUCCCUUUCUGCCAUGACUGUAAGUUUCCUGAAGCAUGACACAUAUUAUUUUGGGGUAGUGGUUCUCUCUAGUACAGAAAGAAGAAGAAAAGAAUAGGUUAAAAAUCUUUGGUGGUAUCUGUUACGUAUCACUAUUUUUUAAAGGUUAUAAAGAAAAAUCUCACCUGAAACAAAGCAAAAUGCUAACAUAAUCUUGUGUUGUGGGGGAGUUACAAUUUCCAGUCCUUUUCUAUAUGUUUGAAAUAGGUCUCAACAGUAAAAUAUUAUGUUUUAUAAACAUAGUGAUUAGUUAUAUUAAACAUAUAAUAAAUAUCUAUGAAUCUACAAUUCAAAAUGGAAACUAGGAAUAUUACAAUAACAUGCUUCUAACUGUUUGGUGCCUGGUCCAUUCCUUACCUAUUAUCAUUUCCCCUUCAAAAUGUAACCAUUAUCCUGAAUUCCUGGUUUAUCAGUUCUUCCUGUUCCUUAUUAUAGAGGUUUAUUAUAGCUCUAUGUAUUCAUAAAAUGUAUACCCUAAAUGAUUUCUAACUUUUGAGAUGUGUUGAGUCUCUCUUAAAGGCAAAAGAAGACUCUUUAUAUACAAUUAAAACACCUAAAAUUUAAAAUGUAUAUUUUCUGGCUACAUGAAAUUAAACUAUAUUCAAUAACAAAAAGAUAACUAGAAAAAAAUCCAAU
ensembl:lncRNA